rnacentral:rRNA from 1 species
UACAGAGGUGGCAAGCGUUGUUCGGAAUUACUGGGCGUAAAGCGCGCGUAGGCGGCUUUGCAAGUUAGAGGUGAAAGCCCAGGGCUUAACCCUGGAAUUGCCUUUAAAACUGCAUCGCUAGAAUCGUGGAGAGGUGAGUGGAAUUCCGAGUGUAGAGGUGAAAUUCGUAGAUAUUCGGAAGAACACCAGUGGCGAAGGCGACUCACUGGACACGUAUUGACGCUGAGGUGCGAAAGCGUGGGGAGCAAACAGG